rnacentral:misc_RNA from 1 species
GUGAAGAUAGGCACAUAUAUGUAUCGUACAAUGUCCUCUCCGCUUGUCGAAAUGCAAAUAACAUCAUCGGGGGAUAUGAUCAUCAGUUCACGAGAACAGAGGAAGAAACAAAAGCUAAAAAUUAAAACCAUCAACAGCCCGAUCGAGUUUGCAUUACUAGAUACACACAUUGCAGCCUUCCUUCCCUCUCUCCAUGUAUCGAUAUAUCAACCCGGCCACGCACAAAACAUUUGUUCAUUCCCUACUCGAGCUGCGCGUACCACACCCCUUGGAUCUUGACAUCCUUGGGCACCUUGGCGCCGAGGUCUGUGUCCGACGGCUGCACGCUCUCGAAGACGCCAAUCACCUCGCCGGUCUCUGGCUUGCUCUUGGUGACGCUCAACGUGAUGUUGCCCGUCGACGACGAGGCGUUCUUGACGUUCUCCUUAGCGAGCUCCUCCU